rnacentral:rRNA from 1 species
GUAGGUGGCAAGCGUUGUCCGGAAUCAUUGGGCGUAAAGCGCGUGCAGGCGGUCCUUUAAGUCUGAUGUGAAAGCCCACGGCUCAACCGUGGGGGGUCAUUGGAAACUGGGGGACUUGAGUACAGAAGAGGAAAGCGGAAUUCCAAGUGUAGCGGUGAAAUGCGUAGAGAUUUGGAGGAACACCAGUGGCGAAGGCGGCUUUCUGGUCUGUAACUGACGCUGAGGCGCGAAAGCGUGGGGAGCAAACAGGGAUUAGAUACCCUGGUAGUCCACGCCGUAAACGAUGAGUGCUAAGUGUUAGGGGGUUUCCCGCCCCUUAGUGCUGUAGCUAACGCAUUAAGCACUCCGCCUGGGGAUACGGCCGCAAGGCUG